rnacentral:ncRNA from 2 species
CACUCAUCGAGACCGGCUGAGGGACAGGCCCUUUGAAGCCGGGGCAACCUGCAGGAGCGAUCCUGCGACGGUGCCAACUCCUGCGGAGCGCCACUGGCGCAACCGGUAGAUGGGGU